CUAAGGAAACCAAUAAAAUCAAUCAUCUUCAGUUUUGAAAGACUUAAGAAAGUUUUUCAUUUUUUAAGAUUCGGGCCUAUAGCUCAGCUGGUUAGAGCACACGCCUGAUAAGCGUGAGGUCGGUGGUUCGAGUCCAUUUAGGCCCACC
rnacentral:tRNA from 1 species